GAUUUCCCACGUGUUAAUAUUUUGUACCUGUUUGGAUCAAUAGUUCUUGUUCUAGUGAACUCUUUUGGACUGAUGACAGAACUGAUCCUUCAAGCAGUGAAUGGUAAACGUGCAGUUGAGGAUCUAAGGAUGGUCGUUUUCCCCUCUGAAUGCCUUUUUAUCAUAGUUGGCAUGACUGUAGAAAUAUUCACUUUCUCGAGGUCUGUCAGCAAACAAAUGAAGCAAAAGAAAAACAAAGAUGAGGAAUAUAGAAAUAAUCAAGAACCCCAGAAAACAACAGAGUUUUGUGAGAUGGACCCUUUACCUGCAUUUGACCAUGAGGCAUCACCAACUAUCAGUAAUGUCAGAGACAGUCUCUAUUAAAUUCAUCUUGCAGCUUUGGUUUUGUAAAAAUGAAGUAUUUGUAAAAUUUGUAAAAAUGAAGUAUUCAGAACAAGUGUCUUUAGCAUAUAACUGCAAACAUUCAGAAAAUCUUUGAAUGUCAUAAAUUUAACUCUAUUAUAUAGCCUAUAUCAUAAUUUAUAGUGUAAUGUUCUCAUCCAGUAAUUUGUAGGGCUGGGAAAAUACAUUGAUUCUCGAUGAUUCCGGACCGAUUUUUUAACAUCAGAUGGCACUAUGUGCUUUAGAAACAGCCGUACUCUGCUUGCUUCCAGUUCCUUUACAUACACCACUUAUACCUAAAAUAAUCAUUCAUAAAGUUUGAAAAGGUUAAUGCGAUUAACAAGGGGGUUUGCAGUGGGCUGUGUUUACAUUAAUUUCGCAUCAUAAAAGAAUUCUGAGCCAAGGUGCACUUACAUGACUCAGCUGAAUGCACAAGCGCUCUCCAGUACUCUUUUCGUGAGCAUUUGAGUGUGCGGUUAAAAACUAGCCUAGAGCGCCAUCUGCUGUUAAGACUAAGCUCAGAAUCGAUUCAAGAGGGAAAAUAUCAGAAUCGAUCCAGAAUCAUUGUAUUGCAAAUCGAGAAUCGAUGUAUUGUCCCAGCCCUAAUUUGCUGUGAAAUUAUAAGCUAAGCUAUUAUAAACAGCAGACAGGACACAUACUUACCUUUGAGAAUGAGGUGUCAUUUACAUAAAUCAUGCACAUUCAAGGAGGUUUUUAUUUUGACAAGAUGCUGUGUUUAUGUGCUGUGGUUGUAUUUUUAUUAUUAUUAUUAUUAUUAUUAUUAUUAUUAUUAUCAUCUUCAUCAUCAUCUUUUUUUCUUCUUUUUGUCACUUUCUGACAACAUUUCAAAAAAUGUUGUGAUAUUUUGUAAGCUACCAUUUCCACUUUUUGCCUUUUUUUUUAAUGAAUAAUAUGUGACAGCUUAAAGGAUUAGUUCUCUUCUGAAUGAAAAUUUCCCGAUAAUUUACUCACCCCCAUGUCAUACAAGAUGUUUAUGUCUUUCUUUCUUCAGUCGAAUAGAAAUUAAGGUUUUUG